UGGUAGGAAUUGCUCAGAGGCAGAUUUAGGGUGGACUUCAGGGGAAAGUUCUAACCACUGGGGCGGUGCACAAGUGGAAUGGCCUGCCUAGAGAAAUGGCGGGCUCCCCCUUUCCCAGAAGGGCUGGAUGAUCUCUGUUGAGGAUGUUACAGAAGGGAUACUUGGUCAGGAGAGUCCGGGUUAAAAAAGGGCAUAUUUCUCUUGAAGAUUUUUAAACUGGUAAUAAGCACAAGAUGAAGAAGCUCAACUGUUUCUGGACAUAAGAAAUGACAUCAGAGAUUCGACCCUGACUCAACAGGCAUUAAGUCGCCCUGGCAGUUCCUUCAUUGGGGUACUAGUACACCCUGCUCAGCCGAACCUGACUCUUUCCAUUUAGAGAGAAUGGAAAAGCUGAAAGCAAGGAUCCAAGAAGUUUGCAGAUAUCAGAUCCAUGGUGGGUUCCUGUCCCACUCAGAAGCCAGGUCACAGAACAAAUAGCAAAAGGAAAGCCGAGGAGUGUCAAGAGGCCCUGCAGAUGGUGGGUCAGAGCCAUGUGUGUGAUUCUUCACCAUUGAGUUCCAUACUCCAUGGCUAGGGAAAGUGUGCCCUGCCAUUGACAUCUUCAUUGAUCAUGAAGGCAGUUAUUUGCCCAUCUCCCCUUUACCUGAAAAAAAGGCCAUAAAAGUGGGGAGAGUGGGGAGCAGACCUCAGACAGGAAUUGCCAAUGAAGGGAUAGGCAGACUGUGACUGCCUCUCACCUGGGAAUGGUUCCCCUUCUGCCAGAGCCCACUACAGUAUGCUGACUUUAAGAUGGAGCUCUGAACCUUUGCUACUAGUCAAACACAAAUGAUAUUUGUCAUUGGCAGAGAGGGAUCCAUGCUUGCUUGGACAGUCUGACUAAGAAAGGAGAGCUCAUCAUUAAUGAACUGCUAUUCUGGAUAGGAGGACAGAAAGAGUAAUGCUAUGAUCUUAAUGGUUGGGAUUUAAAAAGAAGAGACUGUUAACUAGACAGACAACUUAUUUUGGAGACCACUUUAUCCUGGACGGAGAAGAGUGGCUACUAAUUGAUAUUUUCAGGAGAGGGUUGAUCAUCUCAUGGUCAAUGCAAUGUAAGUAGAACCAUAGGACUUAACAGAACUUAUCUACCUCCCUGUAAUACCUAGGGAUAAAUGAGAAGCAUUAAAAAAGGGUUAUAGGUUUCCCCAAUAAACCAGUAAAUGGGAAAAGAAAUGUGGGAAGGCUGAACUAAAUGGUCACCAAGGAAAUCCAUAGUAGCGAAAGACAGGAAGAAAUCCAGUUUUUCCAGUGUCAGGAGCAUUGAAAAAGUCGUAGGCUUUGUUUUAGAUAUGGGAAGCAUCUGGUUUAAUACAAUAUGAAGAACCAGGCUCCCCAUAAUAAACUAUAUUUUUGGAACAUCUUGGUAAUAGAUUGCCUAGAAUUUGUUGAGAAACUGGAGAGUGGCCCUCCAGAGGUGAGACAUCACCAGAAUACGUGGUGAUUAAAAUAGGAAGACCUUUAAAGGAAAGGCUAAUGUGCUGGGAAACCAUUCCUCUCAUGUGGCAAGCAGAUGGCAGUGGAAGACAAAUCAUUCUGGGAGUAAUUGAUAUAGAGGUGGCUGGGGUAGUCUGGGUUGCUAUGGUUACAAUGGCACACUUCCCACAAUGAAUGGAACUUGCAUCAGUGUAGUUUCCUGGAGCUAGGACCAGCUCAGCUAGGGUCAGGGUCACCUCAGGACCCUCCCCUAGAACUAGCAACAGUUAAGGGGCAAGGGGCCCAGGAUCCCUUUCCUUUAUUUGCUAGACAUUUUUAACAAAGAGAAAGAAGUUCAGUUGCCACCUUUUAAGUUUUCCCACAGAAUGCCUUCCCUGACCCUGCAAUAGCAUAUACAGAUUCAUGUAACAAGAAAAAAGAGUUGAUAUCUGCAAGCAUAUAUUCAAGGAAAAUAUGAAGACAGUUUGUCUGACCUCUAGAUAAAUAGCUCUCAAACUAUUUGUUCUCAGAACUUCUUUAUACCAUCAAAAAUUAUUCAUAUCUCAAAAAGCUUUUGUUUAUGUGAAUGAUAUUUAUCAUAUUAGACAUUUAAAUUGAUCCAUUAAAAUAAUUUGACUGAUUCAUUUAAAAUGACAAUAAACCUGUUACUUAUUAACACAAAUAACAUUUCUAUGAAAAAUAACUAUAUUUUCCAAAACAAAAAAUUAGUUAAAAGAGUGGCAUUGUCUUACAUAUUUUUUUGCAAUUCUAAUAUCUGCCUUAAUAGAAGUCAGCUGUAUUCUCUUCUCUGCUUCUGCAUUCAGUAUGUUAGGAUAUGUUGUUUUAAAGCAUAUAAAGAAAAUAUGGCCCCAUAGAGCUAUGUAGUUGGAAAGGGGGAGAAUAUUUUAAUAGGCAAGUAAUGUCUUAGAAUUAUUAUGAAAAUUGUUUUGACUUUGAGGAUCCCCUGAAAGGGUCUCCGGGACCCCAUGGGGUUCUGGGACCACAACAAUUCUAGUUUAGAGGCAGGAUUGCCCUUCUAUGACCUGUAAAAAGAAGAAGCAGUAUAAUUAUUUGAGUAUAGGGAGCUCAUCUGAAAAACUCCAUCGAUUAUAGAAUACUCACAUAUUUAUAUCAAAGCAGAUUUGUGAAAAACAUAUGUAAUCUUAUAAGAUCAAGUUCAAAAAAGGAUGGAAACAGGGCAGCUAGUUGGCAAAUCUGGCCUCAGACUCUUUCUAGCUGUGUGACCCUGGGCAAGUUACUUAAGUCUUGUUGCCUCACCUUUACCAUUCUUCUGCCUUGGAACUAAUACAUAGUAUUGAUUCUAAAACGUUUGGUAAGCAUUUUUUGUUUUUUGUUUGUUUAAAACCCUUACCUUCUGAGUUGGAGUCAAUGCUCCAGGGCAGAAGAGAGGGGUAAGGGCUAGGCAAUGGGGGUCAAGUGACUUGCCCAGAGUCACACAGCUGCAAAGUGUCUGAGGCCAAAUUUGAACCUAGGACCUCCCAUCUCUAGGCCUGGCUCUUAAUCCACUGAGCUACCCAGCUACCCCCAGCAUUUUUAAAAAAUGAAUGGAAACCAGCCAUUCUUAAUUUAUCCGGGUAUUACAAAUAAUAAAAAUACUUGACAUUUAUAUUUAAAAUUUUAAAAGCUCUUUACAAAUAAAAUAUUUCCUACUAUUCUUGUGGAGGAAAUUAAGUUAUAGAAUAAUUUUACAAUCAUAUUUUCAGAUCAGGUUAGACGAUGUAACUAAAAAAAUAAUUAUUAAUGGAUUGAUAUAAAAUAAAUGUCUACAGUGGAAUACUUCAGGGUUCUGUGCUAUUUAAUAUUUUUAUCAAGUUUGCAGAUGACACAAAAGAUAGGUCAGGAUCCAAAAUUAACUUCAUAGGGCCAACCAUUGGGCUGAAUCUAUUAAAAUGAAAUUCAAGAAAGAUAAAUGUAAAGUCACACUUGGGCACAAAAAAUCAGCUUCUUAGGUAUAAGAUGGGAGAGGUAUAAAUAGACAACAGUUGAUCUGAAAAAAUUUUAGGUGGGUAGUGUGGACUGCAGACUUAAUAUGAAUUAACAGCAUGAUGUGGAAGCAAAAAAGCCAAUAUGCUGAAUUUGGAGGGAAAACAAAUAUAAAAUAAACUGCUAGCUAAUUUGAUUUCUUUUUUUUAAAGAGGAAAAAUGAAACUGAAAGUGUCAAAAAUGAAAAUGAAGAAUUCACAGUGAAAAGGAAAUAAGCAAGACUCUUAUCCAGUUAUAUGCCAACAAAGCUGAUAAAUCAAAUGGAUACAUAUUUAUAAAAUACAAAAUUUUACAGAACAAGAAAUAGAAAUUUUAUAUACCCUGCUCUCAGAAAAAUAAAUUUAACAAGUCAGGAAGGAAAAGUCUCUAGGACUUGAUGAAUUUACAUAUAAAUUCUAUCAAAUGUUCAAAAAAAUUUAAUUCUAAUAUUACAUAAUUUAUUUGUCAAAAAAUAGGCAGGGGGGAGGGGGGAAUAUUGUGUGCUCAACCUGACUCAGACUAGUUCCCUGAGUUAUUUGAGUCUCAUACUGGAAUGAAACACUUAUAGGUCAUUUCAACAGUUAAUAAAAGGAGGUUUACUGGUUUAUUUAGCCAUAGCAUAGAAAAAAAGAUAUUCAACAAGGAUGUAGAACUUAGCUCUAGUUAAUGAAACUUUGGUCAGCAAGGUAGAGUGUGGUGACUCAGACACCUUGGGAUAUUUACCAAGGCUGAAUGACUGAAAAUCUAUGAUUAUAUUGAAAUAUAGCUAUUGAAAGAUUUUUAAAAGUUUAUAAACUCUUGGCUAAAAAAACCUUACUUUAAAGAGAUAGAAAAAAAUAGCAACAAAAUUCAUCUAGAACAAAAGGUCAAGAUUCUUAGGGUAAAUCUUUUUUUUAAGUCAAAGAAUUUUUAAGGGAAAUAACAAAAAAAGAUGGCUAUAAAAGGAAUAGCUCUCAAGCUAUACUACAUAGCAAUAAAUGUCAAAAUUAUUUAGUAGUGGUUAAAAAACACAAGAGUUUAUCAAUGGAAGAGAUUAAGUAAACAAGUCACAAAAGCAAUCAAAUUGAGUAGCAUAGUGUUCAGUAAACCCACAAACUCUAGCUAUUGGGUUGAGAAAUUCUUAUUAAACAAAAAUUGCUGAGAAAACUCAAAUGCAGAUUGGCAGAAAUGAAAUUUAGAUAAACCACUCAUACCAAAUACCAUUAAAUUCUAAAUUGAGACAUGCCCUGGAUAUUUAAUAUUGUCAUAAACUAAUGGAAAAGCAGAAAAGAAUGUACCUUUCAUAACUAUGAAUAGGGAAAGAAUUCUUACUUACAGAAGGGUUAGAGAAAAUCACUUGAGAUGAAUGAACUAUUUUGAUUACAUAAAAGUUUUUGCACAAACAAAAUCAAUGCAGUAGGAAUUAGAAGGGAGAUAGUUAACUGGGAAAACUCUUCAUAGAAAAUUAUUCUGCUAAAGGCAUGACAUAUAUAGAUAUUGGAAAUAAAUGUCAGUAUAAAAAUUCUUAAGGCCAUUCACUUACAAAUAGAUCAAUAGUCAAAGGACAUAAAUAUAAUGAAAGAAAAGAAAAAAGGAGGAGAAAGGAAAAGAAGGAGGGAGAAAGGGAAGGAGG